rnacentral:rRNA from 1 species
UACGGGGGGGGCAAGCGUUGUUCGGAAUUACUGGGCGUAAAGGGUUCGUAGGUGGCUUGCUAAGUCAGACGUGAAAUCCCUCAGCUUAACUGGGGAACUGCGUCUGAGACUGGUGAGCUUGAGUGCAGGAGAGGAACGCGGAAUUCCAGGUGUAGCAGUGAAAUGCGUAGAGAUGUGGAGGAAUACCGAUGGCGAAGGCAGCCCCCUGGGCCAAUACUGACGCUCAUGCACGAAAGCGUGGGGAGCAAACAGG